UCUCCACCUCUACCAGCGCCGAAACCACACACGAGGGGGGAGAGAGGACGUUCAUCCGCGUCUUUCAUAGUAACCGAGUCACGCCGUUCACAGCCAGACUUCUCAGCCAGGACACCGGAGUCUCUGACCGAUCAGUCCCGGAGGUGCGUCCGCUCAUCCGCUCCCCUGCCAGCAGCUCCGCGCCGCUUCGCUCCGUUCCGUUCCGUUCCGCGCCGGGCCGGUCCGGUCCGAUCGCUUCCCCCUGGAGAACAGUUUAUUCCCUGGAAGCUGGAUGAAUUAUUGGAGAGUUGUGAACAAGUGCGAGAAGAAAGCUGAGGCUCGGGAUCUGCCUCCUCGCUCCGUCCAGGGAAGACAAGACUCAGCCAGAGUUGUGGACGACAAUGGAGGGGACGUCCCUGUAUCUUCUUAUUGUUAUUUUACUGAUGCAAUGUUCCCCCUCCGUUCCUGUUACCGUGGCGACCAACAGACACAAGGUGGAGGUGCGCGAGUUCUCAGAUGCGGUGCUGUCCUGUACCUUCCACACAGAGAAAGACCAGAACCCGCGCAUCGAGUGGAAGAAGAAGGGGAAAGAUGUUUCCUUUGUGUACUAUGAUGGACACUUCAGAGCUCCCUUUGAGGGCCGGGCGACCAUCGAAGGGGCCACGGUGACGCUGCAAAGGGUGACUCAGGACGACGCUGGGGAGUACCGCUGUGAGAUCAGCGCUCCUCUCGACACCGUCAGCCUGGGCGAGACCAACGUCACGCUCAAAGUCCUGGUGCCCCCACACACCCCGUCCUGCGAAAUCCCCAGUGCGGCAGUGACAGGCUCAGUGGUGCAGCUGCGCUGUAGGGACCAGCAGAGCAUCCCGCCUGCUACAUACUCCUGGUUCAAGGAUGACCAGCCAAUCAGCCAGCCACGCCACGCCAACGCCACCUAUCUAAUCAACUCGCACACAGGAGUACUGGAGUUUAGAGCUGUAGCCAAAGACGACACCGGUCUAUACAGCUGCCUGGCUUCGAACGGAGUGGGACCGCCCAAGAAGUGCGAGGGCAAGCACAUGACGAUAGAGGACGUCAACGUGUCGGCCGUGGUGGCAGCAGUGGUGGUGGUCUGCCUCGUCAUCGUAUGUGGAUGCGGGGGAUUCCUCUUGCACCGCAACGGUUUCUUCAGCCCAGGACACAGAGGAAGGUCAUUUUGGAUCUCCCAGUGUCAUGGUGCAGCCCACAUCAGCAGCCAAACCCUGCACAGAACUGAGGACACGGCAAGAUCUGACUCAGGAUCCAGCUGUCUGCCUCCACUUUCUUCUCUUCUUUAGGACUGUGUCAAACUGUCCACUGUGCUUACCAAUGUCUUUGUCUUUUAGAUCCAAUGUCAACUACAUCCCUCCGCCCCAAGAACCCCAGGAUUUCAAACACACUCAGUCAUUCAUGCUCUAAGAAGCUGGCCUUCCUUUGAGAACACAUCACCCUUACGAUAAGGUGCCAAACACUGGAUUAUCUGAUUAACUUUCUCUCUGGACUCUGAAUGAGCUCUCCAUCGUCCAAUUCAUGCUAAUUUCAAUCUUCUCCCUGUACCGCUCCUUUUGGAUGGCAAGGCUUCUUACUCUCUUGCUUUGUACUAUGUGGGUCGCCUCAGUCAGUGCCAUUUUCUGCUCUUAUGGGAUAAGGAACAGUUGUGUGACGUUCUGCUCCCCCCUGGUGGUCAUAUGUUGAAAUUCCAGUUGAUCCUUUCUGAAUGAUCCAGGGAUAACUUGAGCUUUCUACGUACACACUUUGUUUCUUCCCUCAGCGAAUGGCCAAUGUUUUUAACUACCUUUUUUUUUAUACCAAAGACUGACCGUAUACUUAAAUGUUCUUUAAAAGAGGGAAAUUCUUCUUAAAGCCAUAGAUAAAGCAUUGCUUUCAAUCUACUCAAACAUAAAUGUGGUUUACCUCAGCAUCUGCCAAUGUUUUGUCUUCUGUAACACUGGGGUUCCUGGGGGCCAGAGUGCCACACAAGACCCUCAUGAUGUUAGUAACCAACAAAGCCAGUCCAGGAGAACAGGAAGCCACUCCAGCCAAUUAUAUUGAGACCAACCCCAUUCCAUCCUGAUGUGCCUGCAUGGUCUUUAUAUAUUUAUAUAUAUAUAUUCAUGCACACACACUCUUUCUCUCUCUCUCUCACACACACACACACACACACAUAUAUAUAUACCUUGUGCCUUUUUAAUUUAUCUGUCAUAUUUAUCUAUGGAUCACACUUUUUUUGUAAAGAACUUGCCUUACUUUUUCUGUCUUUAUAUUUUGUGCCACUGUUUAUCAAUGUUUUAUCAAAAAUGGAGUGUCUGAUUUUAGACAGUGUGUGUAUGGAUUGUUCAGAGUUUUAUUUGAAUGGUGUAUCUGUAAUAAAAGUGUUUUCUAUUCA